CUGUAGUAAUUCCUACAUUAAAAUCAGUGGCUCUUGCCACAGUAUGGAAUUGUAGCAAAAGGUAAAACUGUAAUAUCCUCUCCUUGCCUUGUGUCCUGUUAUGCUAUACAUGGUUUGACUCAGAGACAAACUGUUUCAGGUCUUGUAACACCAGAUGUGGAAAGACCUUAUUCAUUGAUGGGAUCCCAAGAUGCUCUUGCAACAGACAUCAUGGGGAAAACCUGUUACAUUGCCAAGUUUGGAUGGCAGCCUGAUUCUGUUCUCCACCUGUGCAGGCUCAGACAUGUCUUACUGAUCAAAGAAUUAUUACAGAUAAGAGCAGCAAGUCCUGUAUUAGAUAGAAAGCAGCUUCUACCCUGUGAAGCCUCGUGA
rnacentral:lncRNA from 14 species